rnacentral:rRNA from 1 species
GUGUCAGCAGCCGCGGUAAUACAGACGGUCCAAACGUUAUUCGGAAUUACUGGGCUUAAAGAGUUCGUAGGCGGUCAAGAAAGUGGGGUGUGAAAGCCCUCGGCUCAACCGAGGAACUGCGCUCCAAACUACUUGACUUGAGGAGGCUAGAGGUAAGCGGAACUGAUGGUGGAGCGGUGAAAUGCGUUGAUAUCAUCAGGAACACCGGAGGCGAAGGCGGCUUACUGGGGCCUUUCUGACGCUGAGGAACGAAAGCCAGGGGAGCGAACGGGAUUAGAAACCCGCGUAGUCC